rnacentral:lncRNA from 1 species
GGUCACCCCCUGAAGCACGUUCAGAGCCGGAGCAGAGGUUAGGCAGUGUCUAGGACAAGGAUUGCUGCUCUCCUCUGCUCAGCUUGCAGACACGUGGUGACUGAGCUGCAUAAAGGCUCAUGCUGUCUAUAUUUUAUUUUGUGGGUAGUGCGGGCUGUUGGUUUUAUUAUUUUCUCUUUAUGCGAGGCUGACAGGGAGCGUAGAGCUGGUUGCUGGGCAGUGGGGAUUGCAGUUGGUAAUAAAGGUCUGUUUUCUCACUUCCUCUAUUUUUGUCUCUGGGCAGGAUGAGGCACAUCAGGGGAAAAUCUGACUUGAAACAGAAGCUCAAUUUUUAAGUUGGAGUUAGACAGUCCUGCUGAGAGAGGUUUGCUCACACCACAGCUGUCCGUCACCUUGGGGCACAGCAGCCCCAGGGCUGCCACGUCUCUCCUGGACAGAUCUGGAGGGACACUCUUACUCCAAACCCCUCAUUAGUUUGCCAAGUGACAUUUUGGUGCCUGGGGCAGGAUGUCUGCUUGGUUUUCCCCUGGGACUUGUGAGCAUACUGAAAAAGUGACAUACAUCCUCCUGUAAGAAGGGAAUGGUCUUUACCAGGCAUGGACUCAGGACUCCUGAGUCUUACACCUUUUCUUCCUCUUUCUGGCUCCUAGGGAAAUUCUCUGUAUCCCGUGAGCACAGAGCUGUUUCUGUGUGUGAGACCCUGCUGGUGGUCUGUUAUUUGCAGGAGGAUUUUUUGCUUGCAAGGAGAAUUUUGCAACCACCAAGUGCAAACUUUUCUGGAAGAGCUCUGGUUUUCAUACAAAUCUCUGAAUCUCUCCAGAUGGCCUUCCGGAGACACGCUGGGUGA